GCCGGGUGCAGUGGCACACGCCUGUAAUCUGAGGGACUCAGGAGGCUGAGGCAGGAGGAUCGUGAGUUCGAGGCCAGCCUCAGCAAUUUAGUGAGACCUUGUGUCUU
rnacentral:sRNA from 1 species